rnacentral:rRNA from 1 species
AUGGCGAGGAAUCCGGGCUGCGCCGUCUACAUAGGUAACUUGGAUGAAAAGGUCUCGGAGAGGGUUUUGUAUGAGAUUCUUAUUCAGGUAGGUCGUGUAGUAGACUUGCACAUACCCCGUGACAAGGAAACUAGUCGACCCAAAGGUUUUGCUUUUGCUGAGUAUGAAACAGAGGAGAUUGCCCAGUAUGCUGUUAGGCUGUUUUCUGGCCUUGUUCGGCUUCACAAUAGAACACUUAAAUUUGCGAUCUCUGGGCAAGACAAGGCCUCUUCAAAUGUCAAUGUUCCUGUAACACCUAAAAUGAACCCACUACCAAAUCCACCUCAACCAAUGAGAUUUGGUGAUACUCCUGUGUCACAACAUAGAGUGGUAAAUGGUAGGAUUGCAGGCUAUGGUGUUUCUCCAAAUCAUUCUUAUGAUUUCCAUUCCCAAGCAUCAAGUGGGGUAGCAAGUAGAGGAUUAAGUGAUGGUACAUAUGAUUAUAGUAGACGUGUAUUUGGUUCUGUUCUGAAUGAUGUUAGCCGUCGAGCUGACAGACAACCAGUUCCAUACCCGUCCUACUAG